UAACUGCGUGCAGACGUGUGAACUGCAGGACACAUGAACACCGACGUUUCGAACGCAAAUGGCGGUCUAAAGUAAAUUUUAGACCACGUCUGGCUGAGGGUCGGAUUUGAAAUAAAAGAAAAAGUUACUCUGACUUAUGGCAUACAAUGUCUAUAUGUUGCCUGUCUGAUGUAAAAGUUUCAUCGCUGGGUUUUACAGCCCAGUUAGAAUUGUUGGUAUCCUUAUGGAAGCAUUGUUUAACUACAUUGCUAGCUAAUUUGAGAAAACGUACCUUAGCGCCCAUUGUGCCGCUAAGUCUACAAAUAAUUGGCGAAAACAUUUGAUACCACUAAAAUCUGCUUUUUAAAAUAAGCAACUCAAACAUACGACCUCAGAGUAGGCGAGAUUACCCGCUAAAUUU
rnacentral:misc_RNA from 1 species